CCGGUCUAUGAAGCCUCCAUCAUCAAGCUAGCAGCCCAUGAAAUCGAACGCAGAUCUUCCUGAUGUGAGAUUUACAUAAAUAUGUCAAAGUCUCAACCUCAUGCUGCCCUCCACCAUCCUCCUAAACCUGUGGAUACAAAUGCAGAUUUCCUUAAUGUUCAAUGGUGCGUGUUCUUCUAAUGGCCGCCUUCCCACCGGAGGUUUUGAUCCACAGCAAUUUAAAAGGAGGACAAAGCAAAACGGACAUCGGCGCAGAGUGAAGAACUGCCCUUCAUAAGGACACUAUGACAGCCAUAUAUAUGGCGGUAAGGAAGAGGUUUCCCAAUUUGUGCAGAAGGGCUUUGAGGAUUGCAGUGAAAGCUGGGGGAACUGAGACUGCUGGAAAAGGAAAAGAAAUUACAUUUUAAGUAUGUUGACUUAUGUUCAUACAAUCACACACACAUAUACACACACAUAU